rfam:Pragia fontium strain 24613, complete genome.
ACUUCCUAAGCCGGAACGAAAAAUGUGUUUUUGAAUAAAGGGCGCAUUUUGGCUUUGUGGUUGUGAUGUUGUGUUUGCUAAUUUGCCUGACGUUUGUUGGGUGUCAUCAUUAAGCCUUUGGAUUAAUGAUUAUUUAUUUUUCUGAACAUUUACCCUGUCUGUCCAUAGUGAUUACAGUAGCACCGCAAAUUGCGGUGCUUUUUUUU